GAUGAACGCUAGCUACAGGCUUAACACAUGCAAGUCGCAGGGUAACAUGAGGAAAGCUUGCUUUCCUUGAUGACGACUGGCGCACGGGUGAGUAACGCGUAUCCAACCUUCCCAUAACUACGGGAUAACCCGUUGAAAGACGGCCUAAUACCGUAUGAUAUCGUUUGCUGACAUCAAAUAACGAUUAAAGGUUUAGCGGUUAUGGAUGGGGAUGCGUCUGAUUAGCUUGUUGGCGGGGUAACGGCCCACCAAGGCGACGAUCAGUAGGGGUUCUGAGAGGAAGGUCCCCCACAUUGGAACUGAGACACGGUCCAAACUCCUACGGGAGGCAGCAGUGAGGAAUAUUGGUCAAUGGGCGAGAGCCUGAACCAGCCAAGUAGCGUGCAGGAUGACGGCCCUAUGGGUUGUAAACUGCUUUUAUGUGGGGAUAAAGUGCGUGACGUGUCAUGCAUUGCAGGUACCACAUGAAUAAGGACCGGCUAAUUCCGUG
rnacentral:rRNA from 1 species